AUCCUUGUAGGACCACCAGUGGCGAAGGCGUCAGACUGGAACGCGCCUGACGGUGAGGGACGAAAGCCAGGGGAGCGAACCGGAUUAGAUACCCGGGUAGUCCUGGCCGUAAACGAUGCAUACUAGGUGAUGGCACGGCCAUGAGCCAUGUCAGUGCCGUAGGGAAACCGUUAAGUGUGCCGCCUGGGAAGUACGGUCGCAAGGCUAAAACUUAAAGGAAUUGGCGGGGGAGCACCACAAGGGGUGAAGCCUGCGGUUCAAUUGGACUCAACGCCGGGAAACUUACCAGGGGAGACAGUAGGAUGAUGGUCAGGUUGACGACCUUACCUAACGAGCUGAGAGGAGGUGCAUGGCCGUCGCCAGUUCGUGCUGUGAGGUAUCCUGUUAAGUCAGGCAACGAACGAGAUCCGCACCUUUAUUUGCCACCAAGAAGUUACGACUUCGUUGGGAACACUAAAGGGACCGCCGUUCGAUAAGAUGGUGGAAGGAGCGGGCAAAGGCAGGUCAGUAUGCCCCGAAACCCCUGGGCUACACGCGGGCUGCAAUGAUAUGAACAAUGGGCUGUGACUCCGAAAGGAGAAACCAAUCCCGAAAUCAUAUCACAGUGGGGAUUGUCGGCUGUAACCCGCUGACAUGAACGUGGAAUCCCUAGUAAUCGUGUGUCACCAUCGCACGGUGAAUACGUCUCUGCUCUUGCACACAC
rnacentral:rRNA from 1 species